CGUCCAGACUCCUACGGGAGGCAGCAGUGGGGGAUAUUGCACAAUGGGGGGAACCCUGAUGCAGCGACGCCGCGUGGGUGAAGGAGCGUUUCGGCGCGUAAAGCUCUAUCAGCAGGGAAGAAAAUGACGGUACCUGACUAAGAAGCCCCGGCUAACUACGUGCCAGCAGCCGCGGUAAUACGUAGGGGGCAAGCGUUAUCCGGAUUUACUGGGUGUAAAGGGAGCGUAGACGGUUAAUCAAGUCAGAAGUGAAAACCCAGGGCUCAACCUUGGGACUGCUUUUGAAACUGAGUAGCUAGAGUGCAGGAGAGGUAAGCGGAAUUCCUAGUGUAGCGGUGGAAUGCGUAGAUAUUAGGAGGAACAUCAGUGGCGAAGGCGACUUUCUGGACUGUAACUGACGCUGAGGCACGAAAGUGUGGGGAGCAAACAGGAUUAGAUACCCCGGUACU
rnacentral:rRNA from 1 species